rnacentral:rRNA from 1 species
UGCGUAGGCGGCGCCGUAAGUCGGAUGUGAAAUCUCGGGGCUCAACCCCGAAACUGCAUUCGAUACUGCGGUGCUAGAGGACUCUAGAGGAAACUGGAAUUCACGGUGUAGCAGUGAAAUGCGUAGAUAUCGUGAGGAAGACCAGUGGCGAAGGCGGGUUUCUGGAGAGUUCCUGACGCUGAGGCACGAAGGCCAGGGAGGCAAACG